GAAGCGGCAAGAGCUCAAAUUUGAAAUCUGGCCCCUCCGGGUCCGAGUUGUAAUUUGUAGAGGAUGCUUCGGGUGCGGCCCCCGUCUAAGUGCUCUGGAACGGGCCAUCGGAGAGGGUGAGAAUCCCGUCUGGGACGGGGUGUCCGCGUCCAUGUGAAGCUCCUUCGACGAGUCGAGUUGUUUGGGAAUGCAGCUCUAAAUGGGUGGUAAAUUUCAUCUAAAGCUAAAUACUGGCCGGAGACCGAUAGCGCACAAGUAGAGUGAUCGAAAGAUGAAAAGCACUUUGAAAAGAGAGUUAAACAGCACGUGAAAUUGUUGAAAGGGAAGCGCUUGCGACCAGACUCGCUUCCGGGGUUCAGCCGGCUUUCGGGCCGGUGUACUUCCCCGGGGACGGGCCAGCGUCGGUUUGGGCGGCCGGUCAAAGGCCCCUGGAAUGUAACGCCUCUCGGGGCGCCUUAUAGCCAGGGGUGUCAUGCGGCCAGCCUGGACCGAGGAACGCGCUUCGGCACGGACGCUGGCAUAAUGGUCGUAAACGACCCGUCUUGAAAC
rnacentral:rRNA from 1 species